CUGACCCAAAUAGAUUACUGACACUUGUCGACAUAAACAAGAAGCGUUGCAAAACGCAUCUGAUCGCUCAAAACCAAAAUAUAUUUGGUGUGGAUAUGAAUGUGGGAAUCCUCAGACUAAGGAGAGGAACGACAUGAAUGGCAUUUCGGCUCUACUCUCUGCUGAGACCGAUCCGGCCCCAGCAGUGCAGGCCCAGCUCUAACAGUGGUCUUCCCUGCAGGCUCCCCUUUGGCACCAGCUCCUGCCAUGACUAAAGAGGAAUGUAGAGUUUCUGCUGGAUACAGAUCUGCCAAGCACACCUUUGCUAGCCACACUACCACUGCCCUUGACAACUUUUCCACUGGGCCCCAUCAAGAGAUGAGGUUGCCUCUUCAUCUUGCACCACGGCCGAUGGACAGAGCCCAUUACAGCUGCCAGUGAUGGGCUCCUGGCCAAGCACCACGGGCGGAAGAGAUCCUGAUGCAUGUGGAUCUGCUCUGCUCUUAACACCAACCCAGAGAAGCUCCUAGAGACACACAGCUAUGGCAUUAUGUUACUGCAGAGAGUGAAAUGGUCAGUGUGCCAGUCACGUCCCCUGUCACCUGCACUUACACAGCAGAAUGCCUCAACAAUUCAAGGAUGCCAUUUGAGGAUUUUGCUGCUGCUGCCUUGUUUAAAUGGGAGCUGGAGGCCUUAAAACAGAUGGAGGCAGUGAGGAAGGAGAAAACAGAGGAAAGAGAAAAUCCUCAGAGCAGCAUCCCUCCAACCGUCUGCACAGGCCCUGCCUCCGGCCGCUGAAACAAGGCCCCAAAUGCCGUCUGCACUGGCCCUUCCAUGAGCCUCUGAAACAAGGCCCCAACAGCCCUCACACCCAUGCCGGCUUUCCUGGACUGGAAGAAAAUAUCUACUGCCGAGCCAAAGUAUUUUCCCUGUAUCUGGCACUGGGCAUUAGUAGGAGCUUCAACAGUCUCCCUUUCAUGAGACUGAAAAGUAGAUAUGGAUGGUGUAGACUUUACAAACACAUACACAUAAAUAAAUAGGAGCUGAAAAUCUAUUUCAAAUGAUGGAAGGGGUUUGGACUUGUUUCAUUUUUAUUUAUUUCACAGUCCAUUCUUUACGAUUACUGUACAUACAUUGAUGCAUAUAACUAUAUAUAUUAUUAUGAAUUGCUGUUUGGUGUAAAUGUUGGACAAAUACCAACAUUUUGUUCUAAUUGUGAUGAAUAUGUCUUCUAUUAUAAACCAAUUUCUAUAGUUGGUGUGUGAAUGUUUGUUGUACAAAGGAUUGUGGUCCAGCACUACCAUAAAUAUGCCUUUGUUUUACAUUGAGGUUUAAUUGAGGUUUAAAAAAGGUUUAAAAAAUAAUGAUUUAACCUGUCUCCUCCCCUUCAUCUCCACUGAUUGAAGUGGAUUUAAGGUGAAUUCAAUAAGGAAUCAUAGCUUUCACCUGGAUUCACCUGGUCAGUCUAUGUCACGGAAAGAGCAGUUGUUCCUGAUGUUUUGUACACUCAGUGUAUAUCGCUUGUGAGUAUGGGUGUAUGGGUAGGCAGGGUAGCCUAGUGGUUAGAGUGUUGGACUAGUAACCGGAAGGUUGCAAGUUCAAACCCCUGAGGUGACAAGGUAUAAAUCUGUCAUUCUGCCCCUGAACAAGGCAGUUAACCCACCUUGUUCAGGCUGUCAUUGAAAAUAAGAAUUUGUUCUUAACUGACUUGCCUAGUUAAAAAUGUGUAUGUCAAAUGUCAACACCUUUGCAUGCAUCAGCUGUUCCGGACGACUGUGUGAUCACGCUCUCCGUAGCCGACAUGAUCUUUAAAGGGUCAACGAGGCCGCAGGGCCAGACGGAUUACCAGCAUACUGGCAGGUGUCUUCACUGACAUUUUCAACAUGUCCCUGAUUGAGUGUGUAAUAACAACAUGUUUCAAGCAGACCAUCAUAGUCCCUGUGCCCAAGAACACAAAGGCAACCUGCCUAAAUGACUACAGACCCGUAGCAUUCACGUCCGUAGCUAUGAAUUGCUUUGAAAGGCUGGUAAUGGCUCACAUCAACACCAUUAUCCCAGAAACCCUAGACCCACUCCAAUUUGCAUACCACCCAAACAGAUCCACAGAUGAUGCAAUCUCUAUUGCACUCCACACUGCCCUUUCCCACCUGGACAAAAGGAAAACCUACGUGAGAAUGCUGUUCAUUGACUACAGUUCAGCGAUCAACACCAUAGUGCCCUCAAAGCUCAUCACUAAUCUAAGGAUCCUGGGACUAAACACCUCCCUCUGCAAAUGGAUGCUGGACUUCCUGACGGGCCGCCCCCAGGUGGUGAGGGUAGGUAGCAACACAUCUGCCAUGCGGAUCCUCAACACUGGAGCCCCUCAGGGGUGCGUGCUCAGUCCCCUCCUGUACUCCCUGUUCACCCACAACUACGUGGCCAGGUACGACUCCAACACAUCAUUAAGUUUGCAGAUGACACAACAGUGGUAGGCCUGAUCGCCGACAAUGAUGAGACAACCUAUAGGGAGGAGGUCAGAGACCUGGCCGGGUGGUACCAGAAUAACAGCCUAUCCCUUAACGUAACCAAGACUAAGGAGAUGAUUGUGGACUACAGGAAAAGGAGGACCGAGCAUGCCCCCAUUCUCAUCGACAUGGCUGUAGUGGAGCAGGUUGAGAGCUUCAAGUUCCUUGGUGUCCACAUCACCAAGAAAUAGAACGGUCCAAACACACCAAGAGAGUCGUAAAGAGGGCACAACAAAGCCUAUUCCCCCUCAGAAAAGUAAAAAGAUUUGUCAUGGGUCCUCAGAUCCUCAAAAGGUUCUACAGCUGCAACAUCAAGAGCAUCCUGACUGGUUGCAUCACUGCCUGGUACGGCAAAUGCUUGGCCUCCGACCGCAAGGCACUACAGAGGGUAGUGUGUACGGCCCAGUACAUCACUGGGGAUAAACUGCCUGCCAUCAAGGACUUCUACACCAGGCGGUGUCAGAGGAAGGCCCUAAAAAUUGUCAAAGAACCCACCCACCCCAGUCAUAAACUGUUCUCUCUACUACCGCAUGGCAAGCAGUUACCUGGAGCGCCAAGUCUAGGACCAAAAGGCUUCUCAACAGCUUUUACCCCCAAGCCAUAAGACUCCUGGCUACCUGGACUAUUUGCAUUGUGGGUGGGGCCUAUUCCUGAGGGGGAAUAGGCUUUGUCGUGCCCUCUUUACGACUGCCUUGCAUUGUGUCCCGCCACCUGCCACCCACCACCCGCCAACCCCUCUUUUACGCUACUGCUACUCUGUUUAUUAUAUAUGCAUAGUAACUUUAACCAUACCUACAUGUACAUACUACCUCAAUUAGCCCGACUAACCGGUGCCUGUAUAUAGCCUCACUACUGUUAUAGCCUCGCUACUGUUAUAGCCUCGCUACUGUAUAUAGCCUCGCUACUGUUAUUAUUCACUGUCUUUUUACUAUUGUUUUUUAUUUCUUUACUUAUCUAUUGUUAACCUAAUACCUAUUUUUUACUUAAAUUGCACUGUUGGUUAGGGCCUGUAAGUAAGCAUUUCACUGUAAGAAGUACACCUGUUGUAUUUGGAGCACGUGAC